AGCCUGAUUCCCUCUGUUCUCGGGCUAUACCCUAAGCACAACUUGAGCGAAAAUCCACUUCUUAAUCAUAUUUGUGGGAGUUAAUAUAACCUUUUUUCCUCAACAUUUCCUAGGACUCUCAGGCAUGCCUCGACGUUACUCAGAUGUGACCCUAUCCUGUACCCAUGGCCCGGGGCUGCAAAAACAACCUGACAACGCUGUCUCCUUU